rnacentral:rRNA from 1 species
UACGUAGGGUGCGAGCGUUGUCCGGAAUUAUUGGGCGUAAAGAGCUCGUAGGCGGUUUGUCGCGUCGACUGUGAAAACCCGAGGCUUAACCUCGGGCCUGCAGUCGAUACGGGCAGACUAGAGUUCGGUAGGGGCAAGCGGAAUUCCUGGUGUAGCGGUGAAAUGCGCAGAUAUCAGGAGGAACACCGGUGGCGAAGGCGGCUUGCUGGGCCAGUUCUGACGCUGAGGAGCGAAAGCGUGGGGAGCGAACAGG